AUUGAACGCUGGCGGCAGGCUUAACACAUGCAAGUCGAGCGGGGGGAGGUAGCUUGCUACCUAACCUAGCGGCGGACGGGUGAGUAAUGCUUAGGAAUCUGCCUAUUAGUGGGGGACAACAUUUCGAAAGGGAUGCUAAUACCGCAUACGCCCUAAGGGGGAAAGCAGGGGAUCUUCGGACCUUGCGCUAAUAGAUGAGCUUAAGUCGGGUUAGCUAGUUGGUGGGGUAAAGGCCUACUAAGGAGACGAUCUGUAGCGGGUCUGGGAGGAUGAUCCACCACACUGGGACUGAGACACGGCCCAGACUCCUACGGGAGGCAGCAGUGGGGAAUAUUGGACAAUGGGGGGAACCCUGAUCCAGCCAUGCCGCGUGUGUGAAGAAGGCCUUUUGGUUGUAAAGCACUUUAAGCGAGGAGGAGGCUACCGAGAUUAAUACUCUUGGAUAGUGGACGUUACUCGCAGAAUAAGCACCGGCUAACUCUGUGCCAGCCGCCGCAGUAAAAC
rnacentral:rRNA from 1 species